UGAGUUAUCGCCGCUGCACACAGAGGAGGGAGAUUUUCACAAAGGGUGACGUGGAGGCAACUGACCAGUCUGCAAAGAGACAUCUCCUCGUGUGCUGGAUUCUAUCCAUCUUGUUCCAUCACUUUUUGGAAUCUGCUUCUUGUGCUUCCCAUCAAUUUCUCCCUUAACAUGUGAAGCAUCUUUCUCUGCUAUUUUUGGACUUCCUUGGAGAGCUGUCGCUGCCUGCAUGAAGCGCCGUGCAUCCUCUGGCUUUUAUAGGUUGUGGUACAGUGCACAGAGUGGUGGGCUUCUAAGAAUGCAUCAGGUUUUCCACUUGUUGAGCUGGAUUUUGGUACUGCUGAAAGAAAGCCCUUGGGUUGCUGUGGAAAGUUACUGUAUUUCCGUUUUGAGGCUUUGGAUUAGGAUGAGACGAUCAGCUGGCUCAAGACUAGGAACCGGGCCUGAUUGCCAAGAAGUGAAGAAUUAGGGGCUGGAUCAUCUUCGGUACACAAUGAAGAUUGACUUUGGCUUUUCUGUCCAAGGCGUCCCAUGUUUGAUGAGUUCACUAUCUGCCAUGCUUUGCUGCCAUCCCCAUUGCUUCUAAGAAACCACAGUUUGGAGACAGGCCAUUGACUCUCCCUCCAUCCUUCACUGAAGACAGCUGGGGUCAGCAACGCAAGGCCACAGCAGGAAACCUCAACCUUUGAAAACAAAACCCACCCGCCUUCUGAAUCCCUCGCACCAUUUCCUCUCCUUCUAGGAUAAAGGCCUCUGGAUCCUAAGGGAUAGCUGAGAUCUUUCCUUGGCAAGGAGAACUUGCCUCUCCAGUCAAGUCUUUCCUCUCUUGUGGAGUUAAACGGCUGUAGUGCCUAUUACCAGAGCCAUCCUCUCUGGUGUGAGUGGCUUUAAUUUUGUUUUUCUCGUAAGGGAGAAGA
rnacentral:lncRNA from 1 species